GACGAACGCUGGCGGCGUGCCUAAUACAUGCAAGUCGAACGCACAGUUUAUACCGUAGCUUGCUACACCAUAGACUGUGAGUUGCGAACGGGUGAGUAACGCGUAGGUAACCUGCCUGGUAGCGGGGGAUAACUAUUGGAAACGAUAGCUAAUACCGCAUAAUAUUAAUUAUUGCAUGAUAAUUAAUUGAAAGGUGCAAUUGCGCCACUACCAGAUGGACCUGCGUUGUAUUAGCUAGUAGGUGAGGUAACGGCUCACCUAGGCGACGAUACAUAGCCGACCUGAGAGGGUGAUCGGCCACACUGGGACUGAGACACGGCCCAGACUCCUACGGGAGGCAGCAGUAGGGAAUCUUCGGCAAUGGACGAAAGUCUGACCGAGCAACGCCGCGUGAGUGAAGAAGGUUUUCGGAUCGUAAAGCUCUGUUGUAAGAGAAGAACGGGUGUGAGAGUGGAAAGUUCACACUGUGACGGUAUCUUACCAGAAAGGGACGGCUAACUACGUG
rnacentral:rRNA from 1 species